CUCCACGACGUUGACACAGAUCAAAUGACCCUUUCGCCUUUUACUAAAGAGUCCUGUGUGUGAGCGUCACAACGUGGAAUUGUCAAUUUUUUGCCACUUCAUCUUUUAGAUGGAAA
rnacentral:snRNA from 1 species